AGCAGCCGCGGUAAUUCCAGCUCCAAUAGCGUAUAUUAAAGUUGUUGCAGUUAAAAAGCUCGUAGUUGAAUUUCGGGGUUAGUAGAUUGGUCAUGCCUCUGGUAUGUACUGGUUUCACUGAUUCCUCCUUCCUGAUGAACCGUAAUGCCAUUUAUUUGGUGUUGUGGGGAAUUUGGACUGUUACCUUGAAAAAAUUAGAGUGUUUAAAGCAAGCUAACGCUUAAAUACAUUAGCAUGGAAUAAUGAAAUAGGACGUUCGAUCCUAUUUUGUUGGUUUCUAGGAUUGACGUAAUGAUUAAUAGGGAUAGUUGGGGGCAUUAGUAUUCAAUUGUCAGAGGUGAAAUUCUUGGAUUUAUUGAAGACUAACUACUGCGAAAGCAUUUGCCAAGGAUGUUUUCAUUAAUCAAGAACGAAAGUUAGGGGAUCGAAGACGAUCAGAUACCGUCGUAGUCUUAACCAUAAACUAUGCCGACUAGGGAUCGGGAUGAUGUUAAUUUUUUAAUGACUCAUUCGGCGCCUU
rnacentral:sRNA from 1 species